rnacentral:rRNA from 1 species
UACGGGGGGGGGCAAGCGUUGUUCGGAAUUACUGGGCGUAAAGGGUGCGUAGGCGGUCGGGUAAGUCUGAUGUGAAAUCUCACAGCUUAACUGUGAAACUGCAUUGGAUACUAUCCGGCUUGAGGAAUGGAGGGGAGACUGGAAUACUUGGUGUAGCAGUGAAAUGCGUAGAUAUCAAGUGGAACACCAGUGGCGAAGGCGAGUCUCUGGACAUUUCCUGACGCUGAGGCACGAAAGCCAGGGGAGCAAACGGG